rnacentral:tRNA from 1 species
GGAAAUGUGGCUUAGUGGUAGAGUGCUUGCCUAGCAUGCAUGAAGCUCUAGGUUCGAUUCCUCAGUACCA